AACGCUGGCGGCGUGCCUAAUACAUGCAAGUCGAGCGAACAGAUAAGGAGCUUGCUCCUUUGACGUUAGCGGCGGACGGGUGAGUAACACGUGGAUAACCUACCUAUAAGACUGGGAUAACUUCGGGAAACCGGAGCUAAUACCGGAUAACAUAUUGAACCGCAUGGUUCAAUAGUGAAAGGCGGCUUUGCUGUCACUUAUAGAUGGAUCCGCGCCGUAUUAGCUAGUUGGUAAGGUAACGGCUUACCAAGGCAACGAUACGUAGCCGACCUGAGAGGGUGAUCGGCCACACUGGAACUGAGACACGGUCCAGACUCCUACGGGAGGCAGCAGUAGGGAAUCUUCCGCAAUGGGCGAAAGCCUGACGGAGCAACGCCGCGUGAGUGAUGAAGGUCUUCGGAUCGUAAAACUCUGUUAUCAGGGAAGAACAAAUGUGUAAGUAACUGUGCACAUCUUGACGGUACCUGAUCAGAAAGCCACGGCUAACUACGUGCCAGCAGCCGCGGUAAUACGUAGGUGGCAAGCGUUAUCCGGAAUUAUUGGGCGUAAAGCGCGCGUAGGCGGUUUUUUAAGUCUGAUGUGAAAGCCCACGGCUCAACCGUGGAGGGUCAUUGGAAACUGGAAAACUUGAGUGCAGAAGAGGAAAGUGGAAUUCCAUGUGUAGCGGUGAAAUGCGCAGAGAUAUGGAGGAACACCAGUGGCGAAGGCGACUUUCUGGUCUGUAACUGACGCUGAUGUGCGAAAGCGUGGGGAUCAAACAGGAUUAGAUACCCUGGUAGUCCACGCCGUAAACGAUGAGUGCUAAGUGUUAGGGGGUUUCCGCCCCUUAGUGCUGCAGCUAACGC
rnacentral:rRNA from 2 species